UGGCGGCGCGCUUACACAUGCAAGUCGAGCGAGAGAGUGGAGCAAUCCAUGAGUACAGCGGCGUACGGGUGAGUAACACGUGGGUAAUCUACCUUUUAGUGGGGAAUAACUCUGGGAAACCGGAGCUAAUACCGCAUAAUCCUGUGAAGGGAAAGCAGCAAUGCGCUGAAAGAGGAGCCCGCGGCCGAUUAGCUAGUUGGUGAGGUAACGGCCCACCAAGGCGAUGAUCGGUAGCCGGCCUGAGAGGGCACACGGCCACACUGGCACUGAAACACGGGCCAGACUCCUACGGGAGGCAGCAGUGGGGAAUCUUGCACAAUGGAGGCAACUCUGAUGCAGCGACGCCGCGUGAGCGAUGAAGCCCUUCGGGGUGUAAAGCUCCUUCGGCAGGGACGAUAAUGACGGUACCUGAAGAAGAAGCUGCGGCUAACUACGUGCCAGCAGCCGCGGUAAUACGUAGGCAGCGAGCGUUGUUCGGAAUUACUGGGCGUAAAGAGUGUGUAGGCGGUGCUCUAAGUUCGGUGUGAAAUCUCCUGGCUUAACUGGGA
rnacentral:rRNA from 1 species